CGUACAGGUCUCCGUAGGUGAACCUGCGGAGGGAUCAUUACACAAAUAUGAAGGCGGGCUGGAACCUCUCGGGGUUACAGCCUUGCUGAAUUAUUCACCCUUGUCUUUUGCGUACUUCUUGUUUCCUUGGUGGGUUCGCCCACCACUAGGACAAACAUAAACCUUUUGUAAUUGCAAUCAGCGUCAGUAACAAAUUAAUAAUUACAACUUUCAACAACGGAUCUCUUGGUUCUGGCAUCGAUGAAGAACGCAGCGAAAUGCGAUAAGUAGUGUGAAUUGCAGAAUUCAGUGAAUCAUCGAAUCUUUGAACGCACAUUGCGCCCUUUGGUAUUCCAAAGGGCAUGCCUGUUCGAGCGUCAUUUGUACCCUCAAGCUUUGCUUGGUGUUGGGCGUCUUGUCUCUAGCUUUGCUGGAGACUCGCCUUAAAGUAAUUGGCAGCCGGCCUACUGGUUUCGGAGCGCAGCACAAGUCGCACUCUCUAUCAGCAAAGGUCUAGCAUCCAUUAAGCCUUUUUUUCAACUUUUGACCUCAGAUCAGGUAGGGAUACCCGCUGAACUUAAGCAUAUC
rnacentral:rRNA from 1 species